AAAUAAAUAUAAGCUUUAUUAAAAAAUGAUUGAAAACAAAGUAACAUACGGUACAAACAAAGUGAAUGAGUCAGUCUGAGUCACUCUGAGUUUUAAUGAUCCGUCUGGUUGGGCUUUCACUGAGGGUCCCAAAACUAUUUGGCGGCCAAAGCUGUAUGGGACAAAGGGUACAGAGAAACAAUGGGUUAAAAGAGAGAUAAGACUCACAUAACAACAAAAUGGAAGGACUUCCAAUCAUUA